rnacentral:lncRNA from 1 species
AUCAAGAGAAACACUAAGACAAAGUACAUAAGCUUCGCUUAAACAACAAAAACAGUAGCUGAUUCCAAAUCUAGCAGGAAAGCCGGCACCAAAAAAUCAAAAGUACAAGCCAAAAAUAAAACACAUAACAUCAAUCUUUAAAGCAACACACCAGGAACCCAUAAACAAGAUAUAUAGGAUGCACUACUGUCGACAAAGAAAAUUGUUCAAUUCUUUAAUUGAUUUUGU